UAUUUUAGAAAUUCACUGGCAUAUAAUGUUUUUGCCAAUUUUUUCUUUUCAAGGUGACAUUGAUUUGUAUGGAGUUCUAUUCUAGUACUUCUUGUCUUCUUUUGCAUUCUGUGUUUAUCAAGCCACACAAAUAGAUUAAAGUUUUAUUUGAGUCCCUAGCAUUCAAAUAUUAACUUUAGUCUCUCAAGUUGAAAAGUAUAAGUCAUAUUAGUGGUUUUGCCUCAGAAAGCACACUAUUAAAAUGUAUACCAGAGUUGGGAAUUUCUUUGAUGAAGAGUUGAAUUGGGUGAAAAGAAAUUUUUUUUUCACCAAAUUUAUAAAAAAAAGUGAUAAGAUGCAAAUAAUUUGUAUUGAAUUUUAUUUGUCUGCUAUAGAGUGUAGUUGUUAGUGGUACAUUCACUGAAAUGAAGAAAGUUUGUUUUAAUUAAUUAUUUCUUCUUAGGCAUAGAAGAUACUUGUUGGUUGUUACCUUCUUUUGUAUCUUACUCUUAACAUGUAUCUUAGUCAAAAAAGUUGUCGUAUCUGAUUUAGGUGAUAUAUCAAAUACAUAGUUAUGGAUAUUUUUAAAUACACUUAGUCAUAAUAUAUCGAAUAUAUACUGUAUGCCAAUGUAUGUAUGUAAAAUAUAAAAGUUUGAACUACAAUUUAUCAAAAUAAGAUACAUGCAUUCUAACUUAAAACAAAUCGAAGAAACUAGGAAAACGAAUGACACACAAACAGUCCCAAAGAGAAGUAUAAUUAUUUCAUCCUCACCAUCCACAUAGCACCACAUAUUAAAAAAAAAAACAGCCCAAAAAAAAUUUACAAUUUUGGUCUCUAAAGUUUAGGUCAAAAAUUUUUUUCGUUUUUAAAAUUUUUUCCAUACAAAAUCGUCCCUAAAAUUUAACUUGAUUUUAAAAUUAGUAGUGUUAGGAAGCCAAUGGCCUAAGCUUACAAUGUGUACAAUGGGCUAAAUCUUUGGUUUAUGAACAAAAUGAACAUCACCUAUACUAUCCAGAAUAAACAAAAUGAAUAUCACCUAUACUAUCCAGAAUAACCAUCCAGAUACCAAGGAUAAUAAACAUCUCAUGUUAUAAAAAACUAAUUUUGAGUUCACCAAAGUUUGAACUCUUGUUCUUCCGAAUCUGGAAUUCUAAUACCAUGUCCUAAAACCCCUCAUCCAAAAAACACAAUGUAACACUAAUAAUCAUAUCUCUAAUACUUUCUAAACCUUCAUUGUACACAUUGUACGCUUAAGUCAUUGGCUCCCUAUACUUUCUCAAAAUAAAAUAGUAUGUAGCACAAAAAUUCAUAUAACGAACAUCAAAUAUAAUUUAAGAAUAUAUAAUAUAAUAUAUGUUCAAUCAACAAAAGAUUGCAUAAAGGAAGAGAAUAAUGUCACUCUAGAACUAAUCAUGCCAUUUUAAUAUAAGAAAAUUUUGUUACGAAUAUACUUUUAUUAAAAGUAAUACAUCUCAAUUAAAAUGAUUAAUUUGACAAAAUCCAGUCCCUCCU